rnacentral:rRNA from 1 species
UACGUAGGGCGCAAGCGUUAUCCGGAAUUAUUGGGCGUAAAGCGUGCGCAGGCGGUUCGUUGUGUCGGCGGUGAAAUCCCCGGGCUCAACCUGGGAAUGGCCGUUGAAACUGGCGAACUGGAGUGUGGCAGAGGGGGGUGGAAUUCCGCGUGUAGCAGUGAAAUGCGUAGAGAUGCGGAGGAACACCGAUGGCGAAGGCAGCCCCCUGGGCUGACACUGACGCUCAGGCACGAAAGCGUGGGGAGCAGACAGG